rnacentral:rRNA from 1 species
AACGAACGCUGGCGGCAUGCCUAACACAUGCAAGUCGAACGAAGCCUUCGGGCUUAGUGGCGCACGGGUGCGUAACGCGUGGGAAUCUGCCCUUUGGUUCGGAAUAACAGUUGGAAACGACUGCUAAUACCGGAUGAUGACGAAAGUCCAAAGAUUUAUCGCAAGAGGAUGAGCCCGCGUAGGAUUAGCUAGUUGGUGUGGUAAAGGCGAACCAAGGCGACGAUCCUUAGCUGGUCUGAGAGGAUGAUCAGCCACACUGGGACUGAGACACGGCCCAGACUACUACGGGAGGCAGCAGUGGGGAAUAUUGGACAAUGGGCGAAAGCCUGAUCCAGCAAUGCCGCGUGAGUGGUGAAGGCCCUAGGGUUGUAAAGCUCUUUUACCCGGGAUGAUAAUGACAGUACCGGGAGAAUAAGCCCCGGCUAACUCCGUGCCAGCCGCCGCAGUAA